GUAAUGCUUUUGCCCACUUCAGUGGUGCAUUUGACCAUUAAUUCACAUACAAUCCCGUCCGAAUCGGAUGAAAUUCGGGUAUCAUCCAACUGUACGCUACACUCGAAUCAAAUCCAUUUGUGACGGUAAUAAUGGGUGUGAAAACUGACUGACUGACUGAGAAUUAUAUAUGUACAACAUCUUUGAAUCAAUUGAGAAAUCAGAACCGUUGUGCAACAUUUUCAAUUGUAAAUGUCACUUGAAAUCUUCAAACUAUUCAUUAGCUCUAGAAAUAUGCACGAUAUAAUAAUCAUUUUCAGUAUAAAAAACUGUCGAAGCAAAAACAUUUUGCUUCUCUUUGGAGAUUUCCCUUUCUGUCUCCAAUUCGUAAAACAGCAGUUUUGACGCAGCAACCGUCACGCCAAUCAAAUGUGGUGUUCAAAGGAUGAAACAUUGAGGCCGAACGAUUCGUUUUGUAAAUGUCACUCAGCACAGCGGCUCAUUGGUGUAGGAACAUUGUCAAGAAAUUGACGCACAUUUCUUUGAGUGAACAUUAAACGAAAAAAGGCAAUUUUUUUUGCGAAAUAGUUGCUUUAAUUGCGAGACCAAAACCCUUUUACAGAUUAUUUCGCAAUUUUGAGGCGAGAUUCGCAUUGAGACAGGGAGACAGAGAGCAAACGAAGCCUGAUCUAUUCAAAGUGGACUUAUUGUGACCGAGAUCCAUCGCAAUGGCGAGGCGUAAGCGGCACAAUAAGACGUUUGGUAAGCCAAGGGAGAACAAAGUCCAGAUGAAAAAGCACUCAAUUGUGAAGAAAAAACGUGUCAAUCGGAAAGAAGAUCCAGAAAAACAGUCGACAGAAAAUGGCACAAUCGAAAUCGGCGCGAUCAAAUUGAUCAACAAACAAUUGAAUCACACCUUAUUGUUUUCACUAAUUCAAUAUUUUCAAUUCAUUUAAAACAAAAGAAUUUGAAAAGAGUACCUUGAAUGCAUUUCGGUAUUAUCAUACCAUCAUCAGCAUCACGACUAAACAGAAAAGUCGUCGGUUGUCACGUAAAAACAUCGGUCGGUGUAGCAUCAUAGCAACCGAGACAGCAAAUUUGACUCGAUGUUCCCGUUAUCCAGAUUCAAUGCGUUGUUGCUCCUCUGAAUAAAGUAACUUUCGUAUGCGUCUAAUUUGCGCGCGUCGCCUAUCUCUUUCACCAACCGUAAGUUGCUUAUGUCGAUGUUCAAAUGACCGCUGUUCAAUGCAUGCAAUGCUAAGGCAGAGCGGUAGCC